rfam:Brachypodium distachyon strain Bd21 chromosome 2, whole genome shotgun sequence.
GUUCUACUCCCUCCGUCCAAUAUUAAGUGUCAAAAUAUUACAUGUAUCUAGAUGUUUUUUAGGUAUAGAUACAUGCAUAUUUAGGCAAAUGUGAGACAGUUAAUAUGGGACGGAGGGAGUAUUAA